AGAGCGAACGCUGGCGGCAGGCUUAACACAUGCAAGUCGAGCGGGCGUAGCAAUACGUCAGCGGCAGACGGGUGAGUAACGCGUGGGAACAUACCUUUUGGUUCGGAACAACACAGGGAAACUUGUGCUAAUACCGGAUAAGCCCUUACGGGGAAAGAUUUAUCGCCGAAAGAUUGGCCCGCGUCUGAUUAGCUAGUUGGUGAGGUAACGGCUCACCAAGGCGACGAUCAGUAGCUGGUCUGAGAGGAUGAUCAGCCACAUUGGGACUGAGACACGGCCCAAACUCCUACGGGAGGCAGCAGUGGGAAUAUUGGACAAUGGGCGCAAGCCUGAUCCAGCCAUGCCGCGUGAGUGAUGAAGGCCCUAGGGUUGUAAAGCUCUUUUGUGCGGGAAGAUAAUGACGGUACCGCAAGAAUAAGCCCGGCUAACUUCGUGCCAGCAGCCGC
rnacentral:rRNA from 1 species